CUCAACCGGGGGAUGGCACUUGAAACUGCGUAGCUGGAGUUCUGGAGAGGGUGGCGGAAUUCCCGGUGUAGGAGUGAAAUCCGUAGAGAUCGGGAAGAACACCAGAGGCGAAGGCGGCCACCUGGCCAGAAACUGACGCUGAGGCGCGAAAGCGUGGGUAGCAAACAGGAUUAGAUACCCUGGUAGUCCACGCUGUAAACACUGGAUGCUAGAUGCGGGUGGCGUAGAAGUCAUUCGUGUCGCAGCUAACGCGUUAAGCAUCCCGCCUGGGGAGUACGGCCGCAAGGCUGAAACUCAAAGGAAUUGACGGGGGCCUGCACAAGCGGUGGAGUAUGUGGUUUAAUUCGAUGCAACGCGAAGAACCUUACCUGGGCUUGACAUCCCGGGAAUCGCCUGGAGACAGGCGAGUGCCCUUCGGGGAGGCC
rnacentral:rRNA from 1 species